rnacentral:lncRNA from 1 species
AGGCUCGAUUUCUUUUCUUUCCAUAUCUUAUAUAGAGUGCUAGUAAUAGAUUUAGUUGGUACCAUAAUUACAAUACACGUGGCUACUUCUAGGGCAUAUCCUCAAAAUAAGAUCAAAAGAUCUAUAAAGUACAUCGUGAACCACACUAGAUUUAAUAGAGUGUGAUUCCUCCUUUUCACAACACCAUGCAAUUAUAGUGUAUAAAGAAGAGUCCAUUCAGAGAGAAUUUCUUGGCCCG